GUGUAGUAAUGCAUUGAGCUUGGCAGUACUAAUCGGUCGAGGGCUUGACCAUA
rnacentral:rRNA from 1 species